rnacentral:rRNA from 1 species
UACGGGGGGGGCAAGCGUUGUUCGGAAUUACUGGGCGUAAAGGGCUCGUAGGCGGUCAACUAAGUCGGAUGUGAAAUCCCCAGGCUUAACCUGGGAACUGCAUCCGAUACUGGAUGGCUUGAAUCCGGGAGAGGGAUGCAGAAUUCCAGGUGUAGCGGUGAAAUGCGUAGAUAUCUGGAGGAAUACCGGUGGCGAAGGCGGCAUCCUGGACCGGCAUUGACGCUGAUGAGCGAAAGCUAGGGGAGCAAACGGG